rnacentral:rRNA from 1 species
GACGAACGCUGGCGGCGUGCCUAAUACAUGCAAGUCGAACGCAGUGGGGACGGGUGAGUAACACGUGGGUAACCUCCCAUCAGAGGGGAUAACACUUGGAAACAGGUGCUAAACCGAUACUGAUGGAUGGACCCGCGGUGCAUUAGCUAGUUGGUGAGGUAACGGCUCACCAAGGCCACGAUGCAUAGCCGACCUGUGAGGGGGCUAGGACACACGGGGAAUGAGACACGGCCGAGACUCCUACGGGGGGCAGAAGUAGGGGAUCUUCGGAAAUGGACGAAAAGCUGACCGAGCAACACCGCGCGAGUGAAGAGGGUGUUCGGAUGGUAAAACUCUGUUGUUAGAGAAGCGGUAUCUAACCAGAAAGACACGGCUAACUACGUGCCAGACGCCGCGGUAAUUC